GGCCGCUCCCGGGUCCGCCAGGCUCGAUGCUGACUGUCCCGCCAGGGCUAUCCCACACCCGCUGAAUAUGACUGCUAAACUGGUGCCGUAGGUACGAGGCAUGAAGUUGUGAGGAUUGCAGGUUCCUGGGUCGGCAGUUCUCUUUACAAGGCAAUUGGUGUUUUUUCCUUAACCAAUCAAAGCAACCUGCAAACAGACAAAAGGAUUCCUACCAAAUCGAAGCGUAUCCUUGUGGCGUGCUGUCAUGUUGUGGGAAGAAUUCUGCCAGGAUAGACAGAUUCACCAUGCCUAAUCGCGAGUGCACGGCUGGCUCCCACAGUAUGUUUUGAAGAACAGCUGCUCCUAGUUUGUCUUUCAUGGGUAGAAUACCUCGGCACAGGACAGCCUGCCAGAGGGGGUGUGAGGGGAAUGUGUGUGGGCAGCUCUUCCCCAGCCCCUGCAGAACAGUUACCCUGCUAUAAAAUGCAGCUGCUGUUAUUUUGAUAUUUCACACAGCUUAGCACUCCUAAAUUCUUUGUCUCCAAACCCGAUUGUUUUCUUCUCCCCAGUUCUUUUUUGGCCAGCACCAAUGCACAUGCCUCUGCGUGUGCUGGUUAUGUCUGCAGAACUGUCUGCGGCGUAGGCUGGAGGCACAUGCUACCAUGUCGUGUCCACCACUUGCCUAGUAGGACCAUUGUGAUGAUCUGCACAACAGCCAGCCAGAGGUACCUUCACUUUGGGGCCCAUCCUCACUUCUUUGCAAUGGUUUUUGUUACUUCUGAGAACCACAGAUAGGCAAUAAACUGCAGGAUAAGGACUGCUAAUAGCUCA